AACUAAAGCCGGGAGUCCGGUGAACGGGCAGAAGCAGGGCCAUGCCCAAGCCACCCCCAAGAUCCCCCUGAACCUGCACCUCCAUCACGACCCAUUCAGGAGCCUCCAGGAGCCCAGACACCAGCCCCCCACCAUGGUAAGUCCUUCAAGGGUGGGAUCUGGAAGAAGAAAGAGGAGGGACACCAGCCAGGUGGAGGUGUCCUAAAAAUGACCAUCAGAAAUUGGGGUGAGGGGAGGGGCAUGGUGGACUUCUGUGGGGGUGGGGUGUCUCUCAGUGCAGCUCAGGUGCCUCCAGCAUCCCUUACCAGGGAGCAAGCUCCCAUCUGUAGGUGGUGGGGAUGCCAGGGUGGUAUCCCUGGAUCCAAGGAUAGGGCAGGACCUGGAAGACAGAAGGUGGCCCAGGGAGAAUCACAGAGUCUGCAGGGACAAGGACAUAGCCUCCUUUGCUUGCAAAUUAAGGGAGCCCUUUCCCAGUCCAGCCCAGUCUCUCGUCUCCCUGUGUAGCCUUGGGCUAGUCACUUCCCCUCUCUUGGCCCCGGUUCCCACAGAUGUCAUAUUUGGAAAUCCGUCUAGAUGCGGAAGUUGCUCUUCAGGGGUCUUUCAGUUGCAACAUUCUCAAGGUCUGUGGGUUCUGCCACAGAGUCCUCGGCUGAGAUGGGAAGCUAUGUCUAACAAGCGAUGGGGUGGAUUGACGCCCUCCCUGUGCCGGUGACGGGCGGUAUGGCUGCAGCAGAGGCAGGAGAGGCUGAAUACGUCCAUGCCACCCUUUGGUGGGCAUCCCUUAUCCCAAGAGGAGGAUGGCAGCCAGAGGUGUUGCUGCCUGUCAAGUCUGAGGUCUGUCGAUGAUAGCAACGGGGAGACUGUCGUGAUCAUGGCGCUAUUCCUAGCAGUAUCGUACCACCAUAAGACGCAAAGUAAGAGGUGGCCAGGGCUGACCCCACCCCACAGCUCUCUGCUGUGUAGACCACUUCAGCUUUCAUUUCUCGUCAUUCAGUCAGUGA
rnacentral:lncRNA from 1 species